UGCAGCAGCAAGUUGUGGGCUCCUGCUGUUGCCCAUUUCCCGGGUCCGGAGCCAAGGAGCCGGUGUCCACGGGACUGAUGCAGCACCGUCCGCACCGCAAGAGUCCGCUCAGGGAAAUGGGCUCGGGGCUACAUCAGAAAAGGUUGGAUGACCCUGUUCACACAGCCCCAGGCCGGCAGUGCCCAGAGUCCGGCUCUGGGGGAAGGAAGCAGCGGCGAGCCCAGAACACAGCCUCACUGGGACUCGCUGGGAACAUCAUCUGGAGACUCGGUUAAAGCCCCCCCAGACCAGUUAUGAGAAAGGAUGAGAUCUUGAGAUCUGAAGAUAUUUACCGCUGCACCACAGGGCCUAAUUAUGGCCGAUUACCCUGUCUCCAGCAACAGGGCGUCACUGACAAGGUCAUGGAUAAAGCACCAUCAGGAUGAGUGUGGGGAAAUCUGGAGAGAGCCGGUGGCGAAGAACAAUAGUUGUAAAGAACUGGAAUGCUGUAAUCUAUACAUAUUAAUCGCGAUGAACAGAUACAUUCGAACAGAGCACAGUGUCAUGCUUCCAUUUACAGAAACGAUAUUGAUGCUGAGCAGAGCGCACAGAACUGUCUCACAGGGAGGCUCUCUGGCGUCAAGGAGAGGGCACAGAACAAACAAAUAAUUAAAUUUGCCUCAACAGAGGGAAUGUAUUGAGGGACGAUCCAGCUCAUGUCCUUAA